UGGGGAAUAUUGCACAAUGGGCGCAAGCCUGAUGCAGCCAUGCUGCGUGUAUGAAGAAGGCCUUCGGGUUGUAAAGUACUUUCAGCGGGGAGGAAGGCGAUAAGGUUAAUAACCUUGUCGAUUGACGUUACCCGCAGAAGAAGCACCGGCUAACUCCGUGCCAGCAGCCGCGGUAAUACGGAGGGGGCAAGCGUUAAUCGGAAUUACUGGGCGUAAAGCGCACGCAGGCGGUCUGUCAAGUCGGAUGUGAAAUCCCCGGGCUCAACCUGGGAACUGCAUUCGAAACUGGCAGGCUAGAGUCUUGUAGAGGGGGGUAGAAUUCCAGGUGUAGCGGUGAAAUGCGUAGAGAUCUGGAGGAAUACCGGUGGCGAAGGCGGCCCCCUGGACAAAGACUGACGCUCAGGUGCGAAAGCGUGGGGAGCAAACA
rnacentral:rRNA from 1 species